UACAGGGGGUGCAAGCGUUGUUCGGAAUUACUGGGCGUAAAGCGCGGGCAGGUGGCCUUUUAAGUCCUUUGUGAAAUCCCGGAGCUCAACUCCGGAUGUGCAUAGGAUACUGGAAGGCUUGGGACUGGUAGAGGCGAGCGGAAUUCCUGGUGUAGCGGUGGAAUGCGUAGAUAUCAGGAAGAACACCGGUGGCGAAGGCGGCUCGCUGGGCCAGAUCCGACACUCAUACGCGAAAGCGUGGGGAGCAAACAGG
rnacentral:rRNA from 1 species